AUAUCAUACAAUAUUUUACCGGGGCAUGUAAUGCAUCACAUAGUAACUACUUCUUCGGAUGUUGAGGAAUGACAUGAGUCUUAUAUGAUCCUUGAUUUUGAGUAAACUGAUGUUCAAACUCCAAGACGUUAUCAAGAAACAUCAGGUUAGUAAUUGCUGCAUGAUGAGUUUAAUAACAUGACAUCUUCGAUGUUCGUGUAUUAUUUAAAUAUAAU